GGAGAGAAAUGCUGCAAAGAACCUGCCAGCACGGCGAGGGCAGGGUCGCUCACGGCCCUGAGGGACCAGAGACCCGCAGGCUGGCCCGUCCGGGAUGCCGCGCGCGGGCAGAGCACCAGCCAGCCAGGCAUCCCACUGUCCUCAAGAGAGCAGCCGAGCGCAGCUCCCCUCCGCGGAUGCCGCGCGUCCCGAGGCCCCGACAGCUCCUCGUUUCUUUCCAGCACCUGAAGGAUCUUCCUGGCUUCUUCGUCAUUUAAGAAACUGAAAUCAAACCCCCGAGGAACCUUCGUCAUGGUCUCUACUGUGUGAGAAUUACACUUAAGCUCCUUGGCGCCUCCUUUCACGAAGACAUUUUUCAAGGUAUAGAAGACCAGUUUCAGGAACUUGAUCCCAUAGCCAAUAAGAAGUCCGCCCCUUUGAAAAUCGGAAACCACAAACUUAGGGAACGGCCCACACCUACAGGGCUCAUUUCGACACCUUAACGACAUGUUUCUGUCCCCCUAUCCAACCGAGAUGCAAAAUGAACGGCUCCGCCGAGAGAGGGAACCAAUCGCAUUCCAAAGGGGCGGGCCCUCCCUCGUCUCCUCCCUCCCCUUUCCCCCUCCACCGCCUAUGAAACUUGUUAAAGUAACAAUCCUAAGUCUUUCGGCGCCUAAAUGAGGCCCGAGCUUAAGGGUUGGCGCCAACGUAGUAUUUGCUUUUGCGGUUGCUGUUUGCUCUCAGAACUCCAGCUGGACUCGUGGAAGGAGUGAAAAGGAAUGAGAUACACAGCUAAUCCUCCUUUUCAGUAAAGAGCAGCCCAUGGGAAGGAGAAUCGCGGUGGGAGCUUUAGAUCUGGUACAAGAGUUACCCCAAUGAGAGACCAAGAAGGGCUGAACUCAAUGCGAUUAUGGCCUGGCCCGCCCAGGGGCUAAAUUUAAUGUAUCCCCGGAAAUGAGUUCUUUGCCAAGCCUCGCAUCCCGCAGAGGCCCCCAGCACAUUCUCCUACAAAAGUCAUUAUCGAGCUUUAGGGGAAAAAACCAAAAACUUUUAAAAACCACAAGAUGGUUUAUGAUAUCUUAGGAGAAGACAGCCCCGGGGGCAAGGGGUGAUGAAAAUCACCUGUUUGUAGUUUUCUCUAAGAUUUGAUAAUCUUCUUAAUAAUUUCGGAGAAGUAAUUCAAGUGCCACUUUCAAACACCUAAUCCUCUGACUAAAGCAAAAUGUAAUCCUCUGAAACCACCAGAAAUAGCUUUCCUAGGAAGUAUUCUUAUGAGAUAGGAUGGAAGCUUCAAAAGGUAUUCAUAUAUAUGCUUUUUAAAAAGUAUUGUAGUGGGGGCACUGGGGUGUGGGAGUGCCUGGCUACAGAGGUCCCAAACAGCCCAGAUUUGGCCACCUGCCACUUAACAAAUUCCAAGGGCAGAGAAAUGAGCUGCAGUGAAACAAAAAAGGGACUUAUUUUGGUGAGGCCAACACUGGGUAGACAGUGCCCUAGCAUCUCAAAGACUGCCUCCAAAGUCCUGAAAAUAUUUCUGGCUUUAGAUAAGAAAAAUGUGGAAGAAAGAUCAGUGCGUACAUGCAAGUGGGCAGUCAAGGUCAGGUCUGUCAUGGUCUUGGGGUCAGUCAUGUGGGGUCUUGCUGGCUCAGGGCAGUCCUCACUGCUUGGAGAGAGUAGUUUAGGUCCCAUGCUUUGCCCUCAGGGUCUUUCACCUGAGUUAAGAGAAAAACUGGAAAGAACUUGAUCGGAAGGUACAGACACUAUAGAAUGGAGGUGGUUGAAGUUCCUCUUUCAGCAUCAAGCCUUUGGCAGGAAACGUGUUUCUUUCGUCUUAACUUUCAGCACAAAAGUAACUUUGUCAGAUCAAUUUGCCUGCCCCAUAGCCUUAAUUUUUGGUCGCUCCUUAUGCCGUGGUCAGCACUGCUGACAUUUAAAGUGUACUUCCACAUGUAUCAUCUCCCUUCAUGGCAAAUUAACCCCAAAGAGAUUUUGUAUCUGUAACAAAAACGUAAUGUCAAAAAUGACUGUUUAUGUCUUG